rnacentral:rRNA from 1 species
AGAGUUGAUCAUGGCUCAGGAUGAACGCUAGCGGCAGGCCUAACACAUGCAAGUCGCGGGGCAGCACGGGUAGCAAUACCUGGUGGCGACCGGCGCACGGGUGCGUAACGCGUAUGCAACCUACCUAUCAGGAGGGGAAUAACCCGGCGAAAGUCGGACUAAUACCGCAUAAAACAGGGGCACCGCAUGGUGAUAUUUGUUAAAGAAAUUCGCUGAUAGAUGGGCAUGCGUUCCAUUAGGUAGUUGGUGAGGUAACGGCUCACCAAGCCGACGAUGGAUAGGGGAACUGAGAGGUUGGUCCCCCACACUGGUACUGAGACACGGACCAGACUCCUACGGGAGGCAGCAGUGAGGAAUAUUGGUCAAUGGGCGGGAGCCUGAACCAGCCAAGUCGCGUGAAAGGAAGAAGGAUCUAUGGUUCGUAAACUUCUUUUGCAGGGGAAUAAAGUGCAGGACGUGUCCUGUUUUGUAUGUACCCUGAGAAUAAGGAUCGGCUAACUCCGUGCCAGCCGCAGC